UACGUAGGGUGCAAGCGUUAAUCGGAAUUACUGGGCGUAAAGCGUGCGCAGGCGGCUUUGCAAGACAGAUGUGAAAUCCCCGGGCUUAACCUGGGAACUGCAUUUGUGACUGCAAGGCUAGAGUACGGUAGAGGGGGAUGGAAUUCCGCGUGUAGCAGUGAAAUGCGUAGAUAUGCGGAGGAACACCGAUGGCGAAGGCAAUCCCCUGGACCUGUACUGACGCUCAUGCACGAAAGCGUGGGGGGCAAACAGG
rnacentral:rRNA from 1 species